rnacentral:lncRNA from 1 species
CUCACCAAGGAGAAGUAAGAAAAAGGAAGAACAAAACCCUAGGUAGAAAAAUUCAAGGGAAAAGUGUGAAAAUUCAAGGAAACAAGUGAAAAAAGGUAAGAUUUUUUCAAUUAAGCUUGAGAUCUCUCUUUAUUAAGCAUUUUUUUCUUAUUUUCCAUGGUUGAAUCACAUGAAAUCAUGAUGAAUCCCUUACUGGCAGAACACUUAGAGGAAGGUUUUGAUGCUUGAUUUGGUUAGAUUUCAAUGUAUUUUAGUGUUUUUAGUUAGUUAGUGAUGUGUAGCAUGAAAAGCCAACAAGAAAAAUUCACUUCCUCCCAUCACCCAUCAUUAGCUGAAUCUUCCAUGUAGAGUGUGGAUGGUAUAUUUGAUUUUAUUUCAAGUGAAGUGGUUAGGAAAUGAUGAAUUACGGUGAGAAAAUCAAGUAGGAAAAAUCAUAGUGUUGAUGCACCCACCAUGGCCAAAAUUCCCAAGAGAAAAUGUGAAGAUGAUUUUGAGAAAUUUUAUGCUAUUUGACUUGUGUUUGAUGGUUUGGAGAAUUGAUAGAAAAAUGAGUUUAAAUGGUAAAUCUUUGUGUUUUGUAAUUAAAAUGUGAUUUAAUGAAAUGAUUUUAUAACAUUGUCUUGAAAUUGAAUGAUGGUUUGAAAAUAGAGUAAUUGGAGACUGUUUUCAUGUGUUGUAAAUUCAUGGUUUGAAUCGAAUGGCUUAUGACAAUAUUUGCAUGAAUGGCUGAAUUGGUAUUUGUGUUGAAAUAUAUGAACUGUGUAUUUAGCCUUGCGAGGCUGGAUUGUGAUAUAAUUGCCAUGUCAUGCGGUUGAGAUUUUAUUGAAUUGGUGAGUUUAGCUUGCUGCAGUGGGUAGGUUCUGUGGACCAGCCUUGUUGAGGGGCACGAAAUCCUGUCAUAUUCUUACCUCGAUUAGGGAGGCGCGUAGGGUAACUCUCGAGGUACAACUUUAGAGUUCACUUCACCCCAAACCACCACGUGAGGGUGAACUCAGCCAACACCAAGGAACGGCUAUGUUUUCAAAAUAAAAACAUGAUUUAUGCGUACAUGGCCUUUUUUUAACAGCCUUGGCGGACUCAGUUGGGAUAGGCCCAGGCUAAGGUAUCCCUGAUAAUUGAGUAUGAGAAUGAUUUUGGCACGAGCCAAGUUUUCCAGGAAAUCAUAAGCCUCGUUGUUUAUUUUGGUGAAAUGAAUCUAUUUUAUCUUAUUAAAAUGAGUUCGAAAUGUUGUGAAUCAUUUUUAUGCUAAUCUAUUUUAUCUGUCUCCAUUUACUCAACUUUAGAUAUUUUAGAUGGUAUUUGUUUACUCACUGGGAUUAUAUAAUCUCAUCACCCUCUUUUCUACCCAUUUUAGGCUCAAGAUAGUCGGUAAAUAGCUCAUUUCGUUGAGGGCUACAAUUGGACUUGAAUCCUCAAAAACUGUAAGUUUACCACUUUUGAUACUUUUGGUUGUUCGUGGGCUCACGUGUCACUAUAAAUUAAAUCUUAUGCUUUGGUUAUCAGUAUUACAGUAUGUAUGAAUUUAUUUAGCUUUUACGCUACAAAAAUUAUUUACCGGUAACUUUAUAAAUAUUGUUUUACAAGAAAAUAAAAUAUUUUAUUGAAUAUUUUUAUUAUAUUCAAAUAGUUAUAGUUUCACUUAAAAUGAAUGUUUUAGAUUUCUAAACUUAUUUUUGAUUAUGAAAUAUGUGUUUUCCACUUGCAUACUACAUUUUUAGCUGGUUUCAGAAUUUUUGAGAAAAUGACCAAAAUACCCCUGUGUAGUUGAAACUUCUCUUUGACUACUUUUGAAUUGAAAUUGGUUCAUAUCACUUUAAAACAUGAUUUUAGUAACUAAUACUCACAGGGGAAGCGAGAAAACUGAUGUUAAGCCUUGCGAGGUUUCGAUUGGCAUUUCGGGUACUGAAUGUCUAUCGGGACAUCGCAGCGGUUGUCAUGGGCUCUAUGCGAGUUCCGAGUCGUGACAGCUGUGGUCGCGUGCCAGAGGAAGUGACGGCUGACUGACAAGUAGAAUUAGCUAUAUAUGCACUUGAAUCAAUAGCGACGUAGCGUCUUGCUAUUAUAGGGUGAGUAGGUGGUGUCCAUUUUAAAAUUCUCGUAACUAUACAUAUAUGUGUUGGUUUACUUUAAACACAAAUUUAUGGAUAGCAUGAGUUGGUAGGAUGUUAGGCUUGUGAAUGCCUUGCUUUGAGAAAGGUUUUGCAUAUAUGUAUAUAUAUUAACUACAUACGUAAAGGGUUUUGAAAUCGAGAAACAAGCGUUUUACUACAGUUUAUAUCAAAAUGUGCCUUGUUGAUUUUGUGAUUUGCAUUCAUGAAUGAAUUUUAUAAUCACCAUGCUGAUUUGACAUCUAAACCUCAUGCAAAGGUUUUACAAUACAAAAGUCUUAUGAAAAGAGGUUGUAUCGUGUUACCAUGGUUGGUACUUUUGAAAUGGAUUUGAAAUAAAGUUUUGAGAACCCAACUUGAUUUUUAAAUGGUUUUAUCAAACUGGGAGAUUCGAGAGUAGGUUGAAUGUCACAUCAAUAUACUGUGACCCUUGUGCAUAAGUGAACUCUAGCUAGAGAACCUUUGGGUCACCGACGGGCUUUUAGACGUGACUAGGGCCACAAUCUGUGAUUAUACGUGGCAAGGCCACAAGAUGAUAUACGUGGCUAGGCCACUAGUGAUAUACGCGGUUGCAACCGCCUGAUUUCUCCUAUGUCGGCCAACAUCGUCGAGACUGCCAUGGUUGUGGGAUCUAGUGGAACAAAGCUCCCAGAUGUUAUUAUGUGGAAGUGGGUCCACUGGUUGUUAUUUACGAUUACCUACUCAUAGUGGCAUCUUUAUGGGUUUUCAAACUUGUAUUCUUUCGCAUGGUGAGAACUAUAAGAUUUUUUACAGCUCCCCUAUUUAUGCUAUGAUGUUGGAUUUAACUCCUCGCGUAUGAGGCGAUUUGCGAGUUUGUACAUAACCUUUGAUAAUAUUUGAUUUCACGAGAACGUGCGUGAUUAAACUGAUUUGAUUUGAGCAAAGAUGUUAAAUGAUUUGGACGGUAGAAGUCUUUCUCUUACACUGGUUUUAAUACAUUACUUGAAAUGAUUAUUUGCAACAUAACUUUUAGGUUUAAACGUAAGGCACAAAUGCGUCAUUUGAUUUUAAUUUGUUUAUACAUAUUCAUAUGUUUUAAUGUUUAAACUUAUAUGUUUUAUGCUUGUUUCCCAUCUACACCCUACUCACGAAGUUGAUAAUCACUGUGUCUGUGAGACUCACCCCCUUAUCUUCCUUUUACAGAUAAGUAAUCAGCUCAAGCACGUUGCUCAGCACAUCGAGAUUUGCUGCAAGUAGGUAAUGGCAUCUCUUAGACUUCCACUCCGAGUCACUCCGCUACAUAGAGGUCGUGUGGUGUAAAAGCGUUAGACCUAUAGAAACUAUUAGUCUAUCAAAAAUGUAAUUGCUAAAACUUUGAGGUUGUGUAAUGAAUACCACGUGUGAUGUUGAAAUUACUUUGGAGUUAUUAAGUCUAGUUAUUGGUAGCUGGAUGAUACGCCUUGAAUAUCAAUUGUUUAUCUGGUUUAAGCAAGUGAUAAUGAUAAUUACUAGUCGAU